rnacentral:rRNA from 1 species
AUUGAACGCUGGCGGCAUGCCUUACACAUGCAAGUCGAACGGUAACAGGUCUUCGGAUGCUGACGAGUGGCGAACGGGUGAGUAAUACAUCGGAACGUGCCCGAUCGUGGGGGAUAACGAGGCGAAAGCUUUGCUAAUACCGCAUACGAUCUACGGAUGAAAGCGGGGGAUCUUCGGACCUCGCGCGGACGGAUCGGCCGAUGGCAGAUUAGGUAGUUGGUGGGAUAAAAGCUUACCAAGCCGACGAUCUGUAGCUGGUCUGAGAGGAUGAUCAGCCACACUGGGACUGAGACACGGCCCAGACUCCUACGGGAGGCAACAGUGGGGAAUUUUGGACAAUGGGCGAAAGCCUGAUCCAGCCAUGCCGCGUGCAGGAUGAAGGCCUUCGGGUUGUAAACUGCUUUUGUACGGAACGAAAAGCCUCUUUCUAAUAAAGAGGGGUCAUGACGGUACCGUAAGAAUAAGCACCGGCUAACUACGUG